GAUGAAGAACGUAGCGAAAUGCGAUACUUGGUGUGAAUUGCAGAAUCCCGUGAACCAUCGAGUCUUUGAACGCAAGUUGCGCCCGAAGCCAUUAGGCCGAGGGCACGCCUGCCUGGGCGUCACACGUCGUUGCCCCCCCAUCUACUCCUUCGGGAUUGCGGGGGGGCGGAUGAUGGCCUCCCGUGCGCCUCGUCGCGCGGUUGGCAUAAAUGCCAAGUCCUCGGCGACGCACGCCACGACAAUCGGUGGUUGCGAAACCUCGGUUGCCCGUCGUGUGCGGUCGUCGCGCAUCGAGGGCUCGAAAAAAUUGUCGGGCUCCGGCUCGGCUUUCAACGCGACCCCAGGUCAGGCGGGGUUACCCGCUGAAUUUAAGCAUAUCAAUAAGCGGAGGA
rnacentral:misc_RNA from 1 species